CCUACGGGAGGCAGCAGUGAGGAAUAUUGGUCAAUGGUCGCGAGCCUGAUCCAGCCAAGUAGCGUGAAGGAUGACUGCCCUAUGGGUUGUAAACUUCUUUUAUAUGGGAAUAAAGUGAUGCACGUGUGCCUUUUUGUAUGUAUUUUAUGAAUAAGGAUCGGCUAACUCCGUGCCAGCAGCCGCGGUAAUACGGAGGAUCCGAGCGUUAUCCGGAUUUAUUGGGUUUAAAGGGAGCGUAGAUGGGUUGUUAAGUCAGUUGUGAAAGUUUGCGGCUCAACCGUAAAAUUGCAAUUGAUACUGGCAGCCUUGAGUACAGUUGAGGUAGGCGGAAUUCGUGGUGUAGCGGUGAAAUGCUUAGAUAUCACGAAGAACUCCGAUUGCGAAGGCAGACUACUAAACUGCCACUGACAUUGAUGCUCGAAAGUGUGGGUAUCAAACAGGAUUAGAUACCCUAGUAGUC
rnacentral:rRNA from 1 species